UUCUAUACCCCAUUAUUUGCCCGACCCCUGUCUGCUCAGUUUUAGGUUGGGGUGACCACGGAGUAUAAAAUAACCUCCAUGAAGAAGGGGAUAUUUCCCUUAUUAGAGAACCACACUUCCAAGAACUAAUAAAUUAAUUUUCAAUGACCCGAUACCCGAUAAUCGAUCAACGAACCAAGUUACCCUGGGGAUAACAGCGCAAUCCACCCUGAAAGCCCUUAUUAACAGGUGGGUUUACGACCUCGAUGUUGGAUCAGGGUAUCCCAGUGGUGCAGCAGCUACUGAGGGUUCGUUUGUUCAACGAUUAAAACCCU
rnacentral:rRNA from 1 species